UAAAUUCGCAUGAGUUUUUUGCUAAAAUUUUUUGCUUUGAGAUGGGCUCGCGUACCAUCAGCUAGUUGGUAAGGUAAUGGCUUACCAAGGCGACGACGGUUAAGUGGACUGAGAGGUCGGCCACCCACACUGGGACUGAGACACUGCCCAGACUCCUACGGGAGGCUGCAGUCGAGAAUCUUCCGCAAUGCGCGAAAGCGUGACGGAGCAAUGCCGCGUGCAGGAUGAAGGCCUUCGGGUCGUAAACUGCUGUCACUCGGGACGAAUAUUGACGGUACCGAGAGAGGAAGCCACGGCUAACUACGUGCCAGCAGCCGCGGUAAUACGUAGGUGGCGAGCGUUAUUCGGAUUUAUUGGGCGUAAAGGGUUCGUAGGAGGUUUGGUAAGUCUGAUGUGAAAUCUCAGGGCUCAACCCUGAAACUGCAUUGGAUACUGCCAGACUUGAGUACUGGAGAGGUAAGCAGAAUUCCUGGUGUAGCGGUGGAAUGCGUAGAUAUCAGGAGGAAUACCGAUGGCGAAGGCAGCUUACUGGACAGUUACUGACGCUGA
rnacentral:rRNA from 1 species